rnacentral:tRNA from 1 species
GGAGACAUGGUUCAGCAGGUAAGAGCACUGGCUACUCUUCCAGAGGUCCUGGGUUCUAUUCCCAGCGUCCACA